ACUCCUACGGGAGGCAGCAGUGGGGAAUAUUGCACAAUGGGGGAAACCCUGAUGCAGCCAUGCCGCGUGUGUGAAGAAGGCCUUCGGGUUGUAAAGCACUUUCAGUAGGGAGGAAGGUAGUGUAGUUAACACCUGCAUUAUUUGACGUUACCUACAGAAGAAGCACCGGCUAACUCCGUGCCAGCAGCCGCGGUAAUACGGAGGGUGCGAGCGUUAAUCGGAAUUACUGGGCGUAAAGCGCAUGCAGGCGGCCUGUUAAGUCAGAUGUGAAAGCCCGGGGCUUAACCUCGGAAUUGCAUUUGAAACUGGCAGGCUAGAGUCUUGUAGAGGGGGGUAGAAUUUCAGGUGUAGCGGUGAAAUGCGUAGAGAUCUGAAGGAAUACCAGUGGCGAAGGCGGCCCCCUGGACAAAGACUGACGCUCAGAUGCGAAAAGCGUGGGGAGCAAACAGGAUUAGAUACCCUGGUAGGAUAGCG
rnacentral:rRNA from 1 species